rnacentral:rRNA from 1 species
CCUACGGGAGGCAGCAGUAGGGAAUCUUCCGCAAUGGACGAAAGUCUGACGGAGCAACGCCGCGUGAGUGAUGAAGGUUUUCGGAUCGUAAAGCUCUGUUGUUAGGGAAGAACAAGUACCGUUCGAACAGGGCGGUACCUUGACGGUACCUAACCAGAAACGCCACGGCUAACUACGUGCCAGCAGCCGCGGUAAUACGUAGGUGGCAAGGUGUUGUCCGGAAUUAUUGGGCGUAAAGGGCUCGCGGGCGGUUUCUUAAGGUCUGAUGUGAAAGCCCCCGGCUCAACCGGGGAGGGUCAUUGGAAACUGGGGAACUUGAGUGCAGAAGAGGAGAGUGGAAUUCCACGUGUAGCGGUGAAAUGCGUAGAGAUGUGGAGGAACACCAGUGGCGAAGGCGACUCUCUGGUCUGUAACUGACGCUGAGGAGCGAAAGCGUGGGGAGCGAACAGGAUUAGAUACCCCUGGUAGUCCACGCCGUAAACGAUGAGUGCUAAGUGUUAGGGGGUUUCCGCCCCUUAGUGCUGCAGCUAACGCAUUAAGCACUCCGCCUGGGGAGUACGGUCGCAAGACUGAAACUCAAAGGAAUUGACGG